rnacentral:lncRNA from 1 species
CACCUUUCUAGCCUUCUCUUUAAGAAGUCAAUGAAAGAAACAUGAGGGGAGAGAGGAGUAGGAGGAGGGGAGAAAAUGAGUCUAUAGUGUUUUUCUGCUGAAGACAGAGCAUUGGCAAGCACGUCAAACACAUUCUUUGCUAAAAAUAAAGGCCACAAGUGAUUUUUUUAAGCCUUGAUGUGAUAUUAAUGAUAAAGAAGCACCAGUUUACAGAGAGACCACCUGCAUCUGUAACCCUGAAAAACACAGUUUAGGGGGAACUGUUGGCAGUGGAGGAAACAACCAACGAGACUGUGCCAUUGCAGAAAUGCUGCGUCUCGCUGGUUUGUACAAGAAAACGCCCCUCCGCCCCCCAUAACUUAGGGAAGAAGCAGAGGGUCUGAGAAAGCAGUUUGUUUCCUUGUCACCAGUGACUGAUUUUCCACAAAAUUGUGCAGUGGCUGAUUCUCACAAGAGGUUUUGACAACAAAGCUAGGGUUUCAGGUUCGACUCACAGGAUCUGCUUUUAUUUGGACGGUCUUUGUUUUCCCUGGGCUGGUCGGCAGUCCUUCCGGGGUUUUCCUCAGUCCCUGGCGGGGGCUGAGUCCCAGCCGUUGUUCCGGAUGAAAAGGUAUUGGAAGCCGGCUGCUCUAAUUGGAGCUUGCACCUGCAGACCCGGCCUCGGAGGCGGGUCGCCUGGGUGCUGCUGUGUGUGCGCAUUUGGUUUCCUCAAUGAACACUGGGACACUGCACCGUUUUUUGGCCUGAAUAUGCUGGAGGAGAUCCAAGCUGCUCGGCCACUUUCUCGGUUCUGGGGGGAGGCACUCUCUUUACUCUCUAAGAAGGAGGGAAUUUUAGCUGUAGCUUUGGAGUGUAACAGACCUGGUUUCCCACCCAGUCCUGCUGUUUGGUGACUUUGGCUGAGAGAUGAUAGCUUCAUAGAAAGAAGAUAGUUUGAGGGACAGGCAUUCUGUCCAUCGUCUGAAUACUCUGAAUUGAAACCAGCAGGAACAAGGAGUCUGCAUGGCAUUAUCUUGACCUCUAAUAUGACACCGUUCACCAAGUUUAGUUUA